rnacentral:rRNA from 1 species
AGACGUAGGGGGCGAGCGUUGUCCGGAAUUACUGGGCGUAAAGAGCACGUAGGCGGGACUUUAAGUCAGGUGUGAAAGACCGAGGCUCAACCUCGGGGUUGCACUUGAAACUGGAGUUCUUGAGGGCAGGAGAGGAAAGCAGAAUUCCUGGUGUAGCGGUGAAAUGCGUAGAAAUCAGGAGGAAUACCAGUGGCGAAGGCGGCUUUCUGGACUGACCCUGACGCUGAGGUGCGAAAGCGUGGGUAGCAAACAGGAUUAGAUACCCUGGUAGUCCACGCUGUAAACGAUGGAUACUAGGUGUGGGAGGUAUCGACCCCUUCCGUGCCGCAGCUAACGCAAUAAGUAUCCCGCCUGGGGAGUACGGUCGCAAGGCUGAA